GAUGAACGCUGGCGGCGUGCCUAAUACAUGCAAGUCGAGCGAACGGACGAGAAGCUUGCUUCUCUGAUGUUAGCGGCGGACGGGUGAGUAACACGUGGAUAACCUACCUAUAAGACUGGGAUAACUUCGGGAAACCGGAGCUAAUACCGGAUAAUAUUUUGAACCGCAUGGUUCAAAAGUGAAAGACGGUCUUGCUGUCACUUAUAGAUGGAUCCGCGCUGCAUUAGCUAGUUGGUAAGGUAACGGCUUACCAAGGCAACGAUGCAUAGCCGACCUGAGAGGGUGAUCGGCCACACUGGAACGGAGACACGGUCCAGAAUCCUACGGGAGGCAGCAGUAGGGAAUCUUCCGCAAUGGGCGAAAGCCUGACGGAGCAACGCCGCGUGAGUGAUGAAGGUCUUCGGAUCGUAAAACUCUGUUAUUAGGGAAGAACAUAUGUGUAAGUAACUGUGCACAUCUUGACGGUACCUAAUCAGAAAGCCACGGCUAACUACGUGC
rnacentral:rRNA from 1 species